rnacentral:lncRNA from 1 species
AUCUUUCAAUCGAUAUUAUUAUCGAAACUUAGAAACCGGUCGCAUUCAGUGGGAAUAUCCGCUUCCGCUCGCCAACGAAAAUGAGGAAACUAUCGAAGAAGUUGAAAUGGAGCUAUGCGAGACGCCACCUCCUCCAUCGUCUCCAAUCCCAGAGCCUCCCGCAACACCCCCUCCUCCUUCUGAGGAACCACCUCUACCCAAAACACCCCUCCACCAGUCAUAUCCUUCAGUCCUCCUCCUCCACCUGUCAUUUCAGGCUUUAAAUCCAGCGCCAAGAAGACAGUGAACAAAAAAAAAUCAAAGUCCGAAAACCUGUCGAUAGAGCUGCCGCCUUUGCCAGAAAAUCCGCCUUUGCCGAAAAACCCUCCUCCCCCUCCACCAGCAGACGCUCCUCCUCCUCCUCUCCCUCCUCUUCCCCUUCCGAUCCCAACAGUAUCAGCGCUCCUUUGCCUCCGAGCUCUGCUGUUGGAACCAAUCAGACACAGAGAAUUUUAAAGGAAUUUAACCAGAAUAACGCUCAAAUCUUUGCUGGUCAGCAACUCCCUCCUCCCCCUCCAUCUUAUCCUCCACCUUCGCCGCACCAACGCACAUCUGAAUCUCUUAAACCUGCCUCGCGGGCAACUCAGCGGCCCAUGUUUCCCUCUGUCUGUGUGUCUGCACCAAGGAGUCUCACCAAUAAAGUACCUGAUAAAAUAUCUCACCAAGUGAUUGAGACUCCAGCAUACUCAGUGCAGCCUGCACAACCUCCACUCCCUCCGUCAGUCACAGACCUAAAUUCAGCUUUGGAUAGCUUCUACUCUGAUAUCGCUAGUUUAGAGGCCAAUGUUCCUGAAGAGACAUCAAAGUCUGAACCCAGUGCACCAUCGUCAGGACAUACUGGGGCAAGUGCACCGUUACCAGGACCUACUCCUGCUGAAACUGAGUCACCAAGUCUCCCAAAAAGAAAAAGAAGGUGA